rnacentral:rRNA from 1 species
UACGUAGGGGGCAAGCGUUGUCCGGAAUCAUUGGGCGUAAAGCGCGUGUAGGCGGCUUGAUAAGUCCGGUGUGAAAUCUUGGGGCUCAACCCCAAGCCUGCAUCGGAUACUGUCUCGCUAGAGUUCGGGAGGGGAGAGCGGAAUUCCUAGUGUAGCGGUGAAAUGCGCAGAUAUGAGGAAGAACACCGGUGGCGAAGGCGGCUCUCUGGAACGAUACUGACGCUGAGACGCGAAAGCGUGGGGAGCGAACAGG